rnacentral:misc_RNA from 1 species
GCUCAGCCUGGUGAAAAACAAUGACAAUGAAAAAGAAGUGGCAAAGCAGAAAAAAAAGAAGGGUCUGUUGCUCAGGCCUCAUUGGCUCUGAUGAAGUCAUAAUGUGCCGUGCGUUUCUGCUCAGUUACAAUAAGAAAAUAAGGCAAGAGUUACUGAAGCUGUCAAUUAUCUCAUUAUACAUUAAAAACUCAGAAACCAACAAUACAGCUCAACUCAGCAAAAACAGAAACCAUGUAUAGAUAUUACAAACAUUAAAAACUUCAGUACAUGUAUAUUACAGAAGAUUGACUAAAUAGAUAUUACAAAAUAUGGCAACAGCCAUCAAAAUUUUACAGAGGAUAUUCUUUCCUGUUUGAUAUUUCAGACUAUUAUUUUAGGUAUGUUAAUUAGCCUAUUUUUCAACUUUGUUCUCGAUUGUCAUUUUCCUGAGGCCUUACCUGAUUUUCACCUUUGGUCACUUAAAAGUGGCUGGGAUGCAGGUGCUUCAUGACUUUGACGUUCACUAGAUGAAGGCCUCAGUUUACUAGUUUUCUCAGUAACUUCAGCUAUGACCUGACGUGAUAAAAGAAGCCCCGCAAUAAGAGCACAAACCAUCAGCAUCAUAAAAACUGCAUCCCAUCCCAUUGUAGAAAGGAAACCAGUGAAAAGAGGACCAAGAGCUGCACCAAUUGAUCCAGUGCCAUCAAUAAUGGCAGUCACGGUUGCCAAUGCUCGAGAAUCCCCUCUCAGAGAACUGUGUGUGCCCAAGUCAGCAGAAACUGCAGUUGUGAUGAGUGCAUAUGGCCCAUUUACAAAUAAGCCAGCAAUCAUCAUAAGCACAAUGUUCAUAGUCUUUGAGACACUACCAUAUGCACGGUACAAGAAAAUGGAAGGAAUUGCAGCAUACAUAAAACUGGUUGCUGUAAUAGCCCUAGCUCUAAGUUUAUCAGAUAUGUAACCAGCAAGGAUCCCCCCAACAAUGCCCCCAACAUCAAAAAGAGUAGACAGGUUUCCAGCAGACUUCACAGAUACAUACUCUCCACCAAUUUCUGUCUGGCUCAGAUAAAAUGGUAGCCAGUACAAAAAUGUGUAAGCCACAAGCUUCGAGAAAAAUAAGCACAAUGCAAAUGGUAUCACUCCAGGUAUAAAACAAGCUUCAAUAAGCCCCACACUUUUCUUAAACGCAGAACCAGAUCGGACCAUGUUAUUAUUCUCUGAUUGCACUGUACUUCCUUUGUUUGCCUGAGCCUCCAUAUCACUAGACACAGCCUCUACCUUUUCUCUCGGGCAAUUUGCGCAAGGAAAUCCAACAUCUUCUGGAUAUGCAGCCAAGAACAAGAAAACUAAUAUCCCUCCCACUACAAUAGACGCACCUGGAACUAUAAAAGACCAUCCCCAGCCAUAAUCCAAAACACUAGCAGCAAGAAGAGACCCACAAAUAUUCCCAACAGAAGUAUGUGCAUUCCAAACACCCAUUAUCAAUCCUCUCUUCCUCUUUCCGAACCAAUUACCAAUCACAGCCACAACAGAAGGCCAACCAGUGGCUUGAAACAACCCAGCGAGCAUUUGCAUAAUCAAAUAAAACCCAAAAACAUGAAUAUUCCAAAAGUAUCCCAUCCCAAAUAGCCCCACGAAAAUGCCACUACCAAUCAUCCCGGAUGUCAAAAACAACCUCAAAUCCAAGGUAUCACCCAAAUGCCCAGCAACAUACAUACCCAAAGAAUAACAAGCAAGAAAAGCAACAUCAAUCUCACCUAAUUUCGAUGUCCCAUCUGGUCCAUUAAAUGGAUACCAACCCUUAUCUUCCACCCCAGCCUUGUUCACACCCAGGAAUUCCUCUUUGAUAAAGAUGUUCCCUAUUGGCCACGGGUAUUCACCAGAGGAUUUAUUGGGUUCAGGAUCCAAAACACUCUUGACUAUGCUACUGGGUUUUCUGGAUGCAUGAUAACAAGCAUACGCGAUGAAAGUAAUCAACAGAAUCACAUAUCUAUAGGUGUUCAGGCUCCAACCUCUUCCUCUUAUGCUUCUUAAAAGCAAAAUCCCAGGUGGUGUUUUCCUCAUCAAAUCUAAAUUUUCAGCCAUCGCGAAAUAAUUCACUUAAUCUAACACGAAACUGAGCCAAUUUCUCCAGAGAAGGAUCAAUAUGAUUCUCAUGAAAAUGCAGACAGCGUUCGAGAGACAGAUUGAACAGAAAGUUCGAUUAGGUGAGAGAGACGAGAGGGAGAGAGAGAAUGGCGGGAGAGCGGAGGGACAUAGAGAAGGAGCUGCAACGGAAGACACGUGGCUGGAUUGCUGGUAUUUGGACCGCUCUUCGUAUCAUAGAUGCCACGCGGUGAAAAUUGCAAAACGUGGCACAGUAUGCUUGCCUUGCUGCAACGCGUCGUCUUACAUUGGCCAGACUACCAUCGGCUAUGCCGUUUUAACCCGACCUGGAUUACUUGCCGGAUGUAGCAGUCCGAACACAACAAAAUGGGCUCCAUUUGACGGGAAGUGCAGAG